GACGAACGCUGGCGGCGUGCUUAACACAUGCAAGUCGAACGGAAAGGCCCUGCUUUUGUGGUGUGCUCGAGUGGCGAACGGGUGAGUAACACGUGAGUAACCUGCCCUUGACUUUGGGAUAACUUCAGGAAACUGGGGCUAAUACCGGAUAGGAGCUCCUGCUGCAUGGUGGGGGUUGGAAAGUUUCGGCGGUUGGGGAUGGACUCGCGGCUUAUCAGCUUGUUGGUGGGGUAGUGGCUUACCAAGGCUUUGACGGGUAGCCGGCCUGAGAGGGUGACCGGCCACAUUGGGACUGAGAUACGGACCAGACUCCUACGGGAGGCAGCAGUGGGGAAUAUUGCACAAUGGGCGGAAGCCUGAUGCAGAAACGCCGCGUGCGGGAUGACGGCCUUCGGGUUGUAAACCGCUUUCGCCUGUGACGAAGCGUGAGUGACGGUAAUGGGUAAAGAAGCACCGGCUAACUACGUG
rnacentral:rRNA from 1 species